rnacentral:rRNA from 1 species
UACGUAGGGAGCGAGCGUUAUCCGGAUUUAUUGGGUGUAAAGGGUGCGUAGGCGGUAAUACAGGUCUUUGGUAUAAGCCCGAAGCUUAACUUCGGUAAGCCAGAGAAACCGUAUAACUAGAGUAUGGUAGAGGCAAGUGGAAUUUCUAGUGUAGCGGUAAAAUGCGUAGAUAUUAGAAGGAACACCAGUGGCGAAGGCGACUUGCUGGGCCAAAACUGACGCUGAGGCACGAAAGCGUGGGGAGCAAAUAG